AUUGAACGCUGGAGGCAGGCCUAACACAUGCAAGUCGAACGAGUGGCGGACGGGUGAGUAAUGUCUGGGAAACUGCGCGAUGGAGGGGGAUAACUAAUGGAAACGGUAGCUACUAGAGCAAACCAUCGGAUGGGCCCAGAUGGGAUUAGCUAGUAGGGGGGGUAAAGGCUAACCUAGGCGACGAUCCCUAGCUGGGCUGAGAGGAUGACCAGCCACACUGGAACUGAGACACGGGCCAGACUCCUACGGGAGGCAGCAGUGGGGAAUAUUGCACAAUGGGCGCAAGCCUGAUGCAGCCAUGCCGCGUGUAUGAAGAAGGCCUUCGGGUUGUAAAGUACUUUCAGCGAGGAGGCGUUACUCGCAGAAGAAGCACCGGCUAACUCCGUGCCAGCAGCCGCGGUAAUAC
rnacentral:rRNA from 1 species